GGUUGUGGCUCAGUGGCAGAGCACUUGCCUAGCAUGUGUGAGGCACUGGGUUCAAUUCUCAGUACCA
rnacentral:tRNA from 1 species